GGGUUGUGAGGUUAAGCGACUAAGCGUACACGGUGGAUGCCCUGGCAGUCAGAGGCGAUGAAGGACGUGCUAAUCUGCGAUAAGCGUCGGUGAGGUGAUAUGAACCGUUAUAACCGGCGAUUUCCGAAUGGGGAAACCCAGUGUGUUUCGACACACUAUCAUUAACUGAAUCCAUAGGUUAAUGAGGCGAACCGGGGGAACUGAAACAUCUAAGUACCCCGAGGAAAAGAAAUCAACCGAGAUUCCCCCAGUAGCGGCGAGCGAACGGGGAGGAGCCCAGAGCCUGAAUCAGUGUGUGUGUUAGUGGAAGCGUCUGGAAAGGCGCGCGAUACAGGGUGACAGCCCCGUACACAAAAAUGCACAUAUUGUGAGCUCGAUGAGUAGGGCGGGACACGUGGUAUCCUGUCUGAAUAUGGGGGGACCAUCCUCCAAGGCUAAAUACUCCUGACUGACCGAUAGUGAACCAGUACCGUGAGGGAAAGGCGAAAAGAACCCCGGCGAGGGGAGUGAAAAAGAACCUGAAACCGUGUACGUACAAGCAGUGGGAGCCUCUUAAUGGGGUGACUGCGUACCUUUUGUAUAAUGGGUCAGCGACUUAUAUUCUGUAGCAAGGUUAACCGAAUAGGGGAGCCGAAGGGAAACCGAGUCUUAACUGGGCGUUAAGUUGCAGGGUAUAGACCCGAAACCCGGUGAUCUAGCCAUGGGCAGGUUGAAGGUUGGGUAACACUAACUGGAGGACCGAACCGACUAAUGUUGAAAAAUUAGCGGAUGACUUGUGGCUGGGGGUGAAAGGCCAAUCAAACCGGGAGAUAGCUGGUUCUCCCCGAAAGCUAUUUAGGUAGCGCCUCGUGAAUUCAUCUCCGGGGGUAGAGCACUGUUUCGGCAAGGGGGUCAUCCCGACUUACCAACCCGAUGCAAACUGCGAAUACCGGAGAAUGUUAUCACGGGAGACACACGGCGGGUGCUAACGUCCGUCGUGAAGAGGGAAACAACCCAGACCGCCAGCUAAGGUCCCAAAGUCAUGGUUAAGUGGGAAACGAUGUGGGAAGGCCCAGACAGCCAGGAUGUUGGCUUAGAAGCAGCCAUCAUUUAAAGAAAGCGUAAUAGCUCACUGGUCGAGUCGGCCUGCGCGGAAGAUGUAACGGGGCUAAACCAUGCACCGAAGCUGCGGCAGCGACACUAUGUGUUGUUGGGUAGGGGAGCGUUCUGUAAGCCUGUGAAGGUGUACUGUGAGGUAUGCUGGAGGUAUCAGAAGUGCGAAUGCUGACAUAAGUAACGAUAAAGCGGGUGAAAAGCCCGCUCGCCGGAAGACCAAGGGUUCCUGUCCAACGUUAAUCGGGGCAGGGUGAGUCGACCCCUAAGGCGAGGCCGAAAGGCGUAGUCGAUGGGAAACAGGUUAAUAUUCCUGUACUUGGUGUUACUGCGAAGGGGGGACGGAGAAGGCUAUGUUGGCCGGGCGACGGUUGUCCCGGUUUAAGCGUGUAGGCUGGUUUUCCAGGCAAAUCCGGAAAAUCAAGGCUGAGGCGUGAUGACGAGGCACUACGGUGCUGAAGCGACAAAUGCCCUGCUUCCAGGAAAAGCCUCUAAGCAUCAGGUAACAUCAAAUCGUACCCCAAACCGACACAGGUGGUCAGGUAGAGAAUACCAAGGCGCUUGAGAGAACUCGGGUGAAGGAACUAGGCAAAAUGGUGCCGUAACUUCGGGAGAAGGCACGCUGAUAUGUAGGUGAAGCGACUUGCUCGUGGAGCUGAAAUCAGUCGAAGAUACCAGCUGGCUGCAACUGUUUAUUAAAAACACAGCACUGUGCAAACACGAAAGUGGACGUAUACGGUGUGACGCCUGCCCGGUGCCGGAAGGUUAAUUGAUGGGGUUAGCGGUAACGCGAAGCUCUUGAUCGAAGCCCCGGUAAACGGCGGCCGUAACUAUAACGGUCCUAAGGUAGCGAAAUUCCUUGUCGGGUAAGUUCCGACCUGCACGAAUGGCGUAAUGAUGGCCAGGCUGUCUCCACCCGAGACUCAGUGA
rnacentral:rRNA from 1 species